GAUGAACGCUGGCGGCGUGCCUAAUACAUGCAAGUCGAGCGAACGGACGAGAAGUUUGCUUUUCUGAUGUUUGCGGCGCACGUGUGUGUAACACGUGGAUAACCUACCUAUAAGACUGGGAUAACUUCGGGACACCGGAUCUAAUACCGGAUAAUAUUUUGAACCGCAUGGUUCAAAAGUGAAAGACGGACUUGCUGUCACUUAUAGAUGGAUCCGCUCUGCAUUAGCUAGUUGGUAAGGUAACGCCUUACCACGGCAACGAUGCGUAGCCGACAUGAGAGGGUGGUCGGCCACACUGGAACUGAGGCACGGUCCAGACUCCUACGGGGGGAAGCGGUAGGGAAUCUUCCGCGAUGGGCGAAAGCCUAACAGAGCAACGCCGCGUAAGCGAUGAAGGAGUUCGGAUCGGAAAACUCUGUAAGUAGGAAAAAACAUAAGUGUAAGUAACUGUGCACAUCUUGACGGUACCUAAUCAGAAAGCCACGGCUAACUACGUG
rnacentral:rRNA from 1 species